ACAGGUGGUGGCAUGGUUGUCGUCAGCUCGUGUCGUGAGAUGUGGGUUAAGUCCCGCAACGAGCGCAACCCUCGACCUUAGUUGCCAGCAUCCAGUUGGGCACUCUAAGGUGACUGCCGGCUAAAAGUCGGAGGAAGGUGGGGAUGACGUCAAAUCAUCAUGCCCCUUAUGACCUGGGCCACACACGUGCUACAAUGGGCGGUACAAAGGGUCGCGAACCCGCGAGGGGGAGCCAAUCCCAAAAAGCCGCUCUCAGUUCGGAUUGCAGGCUGCAACUCGCCUGCAUGAAGCCGGAAUCGCUAGUAAUCGCGGAUCAGCAUGCCGCGGUGAAUACGUUCCCGGGCCUU
rnacentral:rRNA from 1 species